GUUAGGAAUAUUGGACAAUGGGCGCAAGCCUGAUCCAGCCAUGCCGCGUGAGUGAUGAAGGCCUUCGGGUUGUAAAGCUCUUUAGCCGAUGAUUAUAAUGACUGUAGUCGGAAAAUAAGCCCCGGCUAACUUCGUGCCAGCAGCCGCGGUAAUACGAAGGGGGCGAGCGUUAUUCGGAAUCACUGGGCGUAAAGCGUGCGUAGGCGGCUUUGCAAGUUGGGAGUGAAAGCCCAGGGCUCAACCCUGGAAUUGCUCUCAAAACUGCAAGGCUCGAAUUCGGGAGAGGAUAGCGGAAUUGUCAGUGUAGCAGUGAAAUGUGUAGAUAUUGACAGGAACACCAGUGGCGUAAGCGGCUAUCUGGACCGAUAUUGACGCUGAGGCACGAAAGCGUGGGGAUCAAACAGGAUUAGAAACCCUGGUAGUCC
rnacentral:rRNA from 1 species